rnacentral:rRNA from 1 species
GUAGGUGGCAAGCGUUGUCCGGAAUUAUAGGGCGUAAAGCGCGCGCAGGCGGUCCUUUAAGUCUGAUGUGAAAGCCCACGGGCUCAACCGUGGAGGGUCAUUGGAAACUGGGGGACUUGAGUACAGAAGAGGAAAGCGGAAUUCCAAGUGUAGCGGUGAAAUGCGUAGAGAUUUGGAGGAACACCAGUGGCGAAGGCGGCUUUCUGGUCUGUAACUGACGCUGAGGCGCGAAAGCGUGGGGAGCAAACAGGAUUAGAUACCCUGGUAGUCCACGCCGUAAACGAUGAGUGCUAAGUGUUAGGGGGUUUCCGCCCCUUAGUGCUGCAGCUAACGCAUUAAGCACUCCGCCUGGGGAGUACGGCCGCAAAGGCUGA